rnacentral:rRNA from 1 species
AUUGAACGCUGGCGGCAGGCCUUACACAUGCAAGUCGAACGAGUGGCGGACGGGUGAGUAAUGUCUGGGAAACUGCCUGAUGGAGGGGGAUAACUACUGGAAACGGUAGCUAAUACCGCAUACCAUCGGAUGUGCCCAUAUGGGAUUAGCUAGUAGGUGGGGUAACGGCUCACCUAGGCGACGAUCCCUAGCUGGUUUGAGAGGAUGACCAGCCACACUGGAACUGAGACACGGCCCAGACUCCUACGGGAGGCAGCAGUGGGGAAUAUUGCACAAUGGGCGAAAGCCUGAUGCAGCCAUGCCGCGUGUAUGAAGAAGGCCUUCGGGUUGUAAAGUACUUUCAGCGGAGAAGCGGUACCCGCAGAAGAAGCACCGGCUAACUCCGUGCCAGCAGCCGCGGUAAUUC